GACGUAGGGCGCAAGCGUUGUCCGGAUUUAUUGGGCGUAAAGAGCUCGUAGGCGGCUUGUCGCGUCGACUGUGAAAACCCGCAGCUUAACUGCGGGACUGCAGUCGAUACGGGCAGGCUAGAGUUCGGUAGGGGAGACUGGAAUUCCUGGUGUAGCGGUGAAAUGCGCAGAUAUCAGGAGGAACACCGGUGGCGAAGGCGGGUCUCUGGGCCAUACUGACGCUGAGGAGCGAAAGCGUGGGGAGCGAACAGG
rnacentral:rRNA from 1 species